rnacentral:rRNA from 1 species
AGAGUUUGAUCCUGGCUCAGAUUGAACGCUGGCGGCGUGCCUAACACAUGCAAGUCGAACGGUAACAGGCUGAGAGAGCCUUCGGGUGAUCUCGGUGCUGACGAGUGGCGAACGGGUGAGUAAUGCUUGGGAAUCUGCCUGUUAGUGGGGGAUAACCCGGGGAAACUCGGGCUAAUACCGCAUACGCUCUACGGAGGAAAGCUGGGGACCGCAAGGCCUGGCGCUAACAGAUGAGCCCAAGUCGGAUUAGCUAGUUGGUAGGGUAACGGCCUACCAAGGCGACGAUCCGUAGCUGGUCUGAGAGGACGACCAGCCACACUGGGACUGAGACACGGCCCAGACUCCUACGGGAGGCAGCAGUGGGGAAUAUUGGACAAUGGGCGAAAGCCUGAUCCAGCGACGCCGCGUGGGUGAAGAAGGCCUGCGGGUUGUAAAGCCCUUUCGGUGGGGAAGAAAAGCCUCGACCUAAUACGUCGAGGUCUUGACGUAACCCACAGAAGAAGCACCGGCUAACUCUGUGCCAGCAGCCGCGGUAAUACAGAGGGUGCGAGCGUUAAUCGGAAUUACUGGGCGUAAAGCGCGCGUAGGCGGCUUUGCAAGUCGGGUGUGAAAUCCCUGGGCUUAACCUAGAAACUGCACUCGAGACUGCAUUGCUAGAGUAUGGUAGAGGGAAGUGGAAUUUCCGGUGUAGCGGUGAAAUGCGUAGAUAUCGGAAGGAACACCAGUGGCGAAAGCGACUUCCUGGACCAAUACUGACGCUCAGGCGCGAAAGCGUGGGGAGCAAACAGGAUUAGAUACCUGGUAGUCCACGCCAUAAACGAUGAGAACUGGAUGUCGGGAGGGUCUGCCUCUCGGUGUCGUAGCUAACGCGUUAAGUUCUCCGCCUGGGGAGUACGGCCGCAAGGUUGAAACUCAAAGGAAUUGACGG